UACGUAGGGUGCGAGCGUUAUCCGGAAUUAUUGGGCGUAAAGGGCUCGUAGGCGGUUUGUCGCGUCGGGAGUGAAAACACCGGGCUUAACUCGGUGCUUGCUUUCGAUACGGGCAGACUAGAGGCAUGCAGGGGAGAACGGAAUUCCUGGUGUAGCGGUGAAAUGCGCAGAUAUCAGGAGGAACACCGGUGGCGAAGGCGGUUCUCUGGGCAUGUCCUGACGCUGAGGAGCGAAAGUGUGGGGAGCGAACAGG
rnacentral:rRNA from 1 species